rnacentral:lncRNA from 1 species
UAAUAGGAUGACUAAAAGUAUUCUAACUUAAUUUUAUAUAUAUUUAUAUAGAGAGAGAGAGAGUGAGGCUACUAUGCUUUUGGAAGCACAGAGCCUUCCGUGCUUCCAGGUCAUUUUCGAUGUUGUGACUUUCGAAUUGUCGAUCAGUUCCGUUAAACUUGAUCUAGAGUAUUUGAAGUACCUAGAAAAUAAAUUUUAUGAUUUUUCGAUAUCAUUUGCCUAGUGAUCGAAGGGGCUCAAAAUCAAUAAUUUUAAUGGUCGUAGUGAGCCGUUUGCAAGUUUAACGGUGUAGAAAUAUCCAAAUCACGUGAAAUUUUGAUAAAAAAUUCUUUAUAUUAUAUAAAAUAAGAUUAAUAUCUUUGAUUUAAAAUUUUAAUGUCAUAUUAUUACGUUUUAUAAGAUUUUUAUUUUCAGCCGUUGCUUUUGAGCCCCUUCGUUCACUAGGCAAAUAAUAUCAAAAAAUUGCAUGAUUUAUUUUUUAGGUACUUUAAAUACUUUAAAUCAAGUUUAACGGAGCCGAUCGACAAUUCGAAAGUCACAACAUGAAAAACGAUCUGGAAGCACGGAAGGCUUCGUGCUUCCAGAAGCAUAGUAGGCUCACUNCUAUAUAUAUAUAUAUAUAUAUAUAUAUAUAUAUAUAUAUGCUAGGGCUACUAUACUCUUAUAAGUAUCGAGCUCUUCAUACUUAUAAGUUAAAUAUAGAGCUCUUCAUAUUUAUAAAUUAUUUUCAAUGAUGAAUCUUCUGAAUCGACGAUCCAUUCCGUUAAAUAUAAUCUAGAGUAUUUGAAAUUUAUAGAAAAUAAAUUUCGUAAUUUUUUAAAAUUAUAAUAAAGUUCAUCAAGCGGGUAUAAAAUGAACGGUCAAAAUCGAACGACGUCUUAAAAAUGGAUGAUCAGAUCCUUCAAUUUAAGAUCGGAGUUAUUGAUCUUUAUCUAUGUAAUGAAUAGAAUUUUCUAUCAAAACUUCAACUGAUUCCGAUUCUUUUAUAUCGUUAAACUAGCAAAUAUUUUAUAUUGGUCGUUAAAAAUUAUAAAUUUUGUGACAUUUUGAUCGUAAGGUAAAUGAUGUCAAAAAAUUAUAAAAUUUGAUUUCUAAACGUUUUAAAUGUUCGAGAUAACGUUUAACGGUGUAGAUCGUUAAUUCGGACUAUAUAUAUACAUAAGGGUUAUCAAAAGUAUGGAGGCUUCUGUGUUCCUAAGACAAACUUUCGAAUCGACGAUGAACUCCGUUAGAUUUGAUCUAACAUAUUCGAAGUAUGUCAAAAUAAACAUUGUAAUUUUUCGAUAUUAUUUAUUUAACAAUCGAAAGGGUUCAAAAUCAAUGGCUGAAUAUAAAAAUCUCACAAAAAGUGGUUAUAUAGCAUUAAAAUUUUCAAUCGAAAAUAUUGAUCUUGUUGUAAAUAGUAUAAAAAAAUUUCUAUCAAAAUUUUAUCUGAUUUGAAUACUUUUGUACUGUUAAACUUUCAAACGGUAUACAUCAACUAUUAAAAAUUGUUGAUUUUGAUCCUUUCAAUCGUUAGGUAAAUAAUAUCAAAAAAUCACAAAAUUUAUUUUUCUAGAUACUUUAAAUACGCUAGAUUAAGUCUAACGAACCCGAUCGUCAAUCAGAAAGUUCCAUCGAAGGACUACGUGUUUCUAAUAACACACAAGACUUACUCUCUGUAUAUAAAGAGAGAGAGAGAGAGAGGAGCAAAUAAAUUUCAUUAAAUUUGGUUAAACUAACAAUAAAUGAAUUUAAUAACUUUAUCUGCCAAUAAUAGAUAUGUUAACAGCAUCAUCCUCUUAUUAUAGUAGGUCUUAUUAUACUAGGUUAAAAAGUAUAGAGUACAUAUGCUCAAAUUUCUACAGGGUCUAUUAAUUAUUUAAGGAUUCUGACUAGUCAGAUUAAUGGCAUAUUAAUAUUAAUAUACUUGAAACUUAAUGAUUAGGAGUUCAAUCUCAAAUCACUCACUUACUAUAUAUAGGUAUGACUACCAACUUUUUUUUUUUCUUUUCUUUUUUUUUUUUUUUUUUUUUUGAAAGGGGAGCAUUCGUCCAAAUAACGAUUAGUACUUAUUGUAGGACAAGACGGUGGAUCACCGAUGACGCCUUUUAUUUUACCAGCUACUCCUAAAUUAGGUUAUAACUAUUUCUAAUGCUAAGCGAAAAUAGAAGUAUGAAAUGAGAUGUUCUGGUAUCUUCUCUCCUAGUUUUUACUCCUUUUUAUAGCCUCUAAGUUCAAAUACCGUGUAACUAUAAUUGAAGCAAUUAUCACGAGAUUAUUAUACUUCGUUUACUAACUUACUCCCUGAAAUCGUGCCCGCUUUCGGAUUCUUUGGCACCCUUGUUUGAAUUUUAAAUUUUGAACAUGUCUCCGUCCUAAUUUUUCAGGGUAUGUUAAACUUUAAUUUCUCGACAUACUUUAUUUUCUCAAAAUCAAAUACCUUCGCUGAAAUUUUUUUUUGGGGGAUCUCUAUGCAUCCUCUUUGGAUUAUUGAAAUCAAAUACCUUCGCAGAAAUUUCUCCUUCGGGGAUACCUACGCAUCCUCUUUGGAUUCACCUCAUAUGCUUCGGCGUCGAAAAUAAGUAUCCACAGUACUAUCACAAAAGAAUUUUGAAUUUUACUAUUUUUAAAAAUAGGACGAAUUUAUAUGAGAUCUUAGCCCCUUGGACUUAUAUAAUCGCAAUUUUGAAGUUUGAUAAUAAACCUUUCCCGUUGGACAAGUUCUCUCUCAUUAAAAGCGGCGAGUUUCAUCUUUUCCGUAUUCGUCCAUGAGCUAUUUCUGAAGAAAUAAAAAAAUAAAUUUCAAAAAAUGGCACUUUUUAGGCUUUUUUUGGGAUUGCGGGGAGACUGCAUUACGUGCGGUAAAAAAGUACGUUGGAAAAAUACUCUGUUGGUUUCCGUACGUAAUAUUGCGUUCCGCAUAUCACAAUAAGUCAGUUGCAAUAUAUUUUCUGUUGUCCCACCGGACAACGCAGAAACAUAUCUCUAUAUAUUUUUUCCUCAACUCCAUUUUAUCUAAUAGCGUUAGAUAUCUCUCAAUGCCAAACUAAUUAAGCCUUAGUAGUAUAAUAUAUUAAA